AGUGAACGCUGGCGGCGUGCUUAACACAUGCAAGUCGAACGAGAACGGGUUAUAGCUCGCUAUAAUUGUCAGCUAAGUGGCGCACGGGUGAGUAAUGUAUAGGUAAUAUGCCUCUUACUAAGGGAUAACAAAUGGAAACGUUUGCUAAUACCUUAUACUCCUUAUUAACAGAAGUUAAUAAGGGAAAGAUUUAUUGGUAAGAGAUUAGCCUGUAUUGUAUCAGUUAGUUGGUGGGGUAAUGGCUUACCAAGACUAUGACGCAUAACUGGUUUGAGAGGAUGAUCAGUCACACUGGAACUGAGACACGGUCCAGACUCCUACGGGAGGCAGCAGUGGGGAAUAUUGCACAAUGGACGAAAGUCUGAUGCAGCAACGCCGCGUGGAGGAUGACACAUUUCGGUGCGUAAACUCCUUUUAUAUGAGAAGAUAAUGACGGUAUUAUAUGAAUAAGCACCGGCUAACUCCGUGCCAGCCGCCGCGGUAA
rnacentral:rRNA from 1 species